AUUGAACGCUGGCGGCAUGCUUUACACAUGCAAGUCGAACGGCAGCGCGGGCUUCGGCCUGGCGGCGAGUGGCGAACGGGUGAGUAAUACAUCGGAACGUGCCCAGUAGUGGGGGAUAGCUCGGCGAAAGCCGGAUUAAUACCGCAUACGACCUGAGGGUGGAAGCGGGGGAUCUUCGGACCUCGCGCUAUUGGAGCGGCCGAUGGCAGAUUAGCUAGUUGGUGGGGUAAAGGCCUACCAAGGCGACGAUCUGUAGCUGGUGUGAGAGGACGACCAGCCACACUGGGACUGAGACACGGCCCAGACUCCUACGGGAGGCAGCAGUGGGGAAUUUUGGACAAUGGGCGAAAGCCUGAUCCAGCAAUGCCGCGUGUGUGAUGAAGGCCUUCGGGUUGUAAAGCACUUUUGGCGGGAACGAAAAGGACUGUGCCAAUACCACGGUUCGAUGACGGUACCCGCAGAAUAAGCACCGGCUAACUACGUG
rnacentral:rRNA from 1 species